UGGGGAAUAUUGCACAAUGGGCGCAAGCCUGAUGCAGCCAUGCCGCGUGUGUGAAGAAGGCCUUCGGGUUGUAAAGCACUUUCAGCGGGGAGGAAGGCGUUAAGGUUAAUAACCUUGGCGAUUGACGUUACCCGCAGAAGAAGCACCGGCUAACUCCGUGCCAGCAGCCGCGGUAAUACGGAGGGUGCAAGCGUUAAUCGGAAUUACUGGGCGUAAAGCGUACGCAGGCGGUCUGUCAAGUCGGAUGUGAAAUCCCCGGGCUCAACCUGGGAACUGCAUUCGAAACUGGCAGGCUAGAGUCUUGUAGAGGGGGGUAGAAUUCCAGGUGUAGCGGUGAAAUGCGUAGAGAUCUGGAGGAAUACCGGUGGCGAAGGCGGCCCCCUGGACAAAGACUGACGCUCAGGUGCGAAAGCGUGGGGAGCAAACAGG
rnacentral:rRNA from 1 species